AAGGACCGUAGUUUUGUAUUGUUUAUGUGUAACAUUUGACCGUCAUAAUUUGUUAUGAUUAGUAUAUUUGUUGUUAUUAAAUGAUAAAACAUGAAUAGUACUUUAUGUAUGACUAAUUCUUUUUAAUUUUAUUAUAAUAUUUUUAAAUAAGACGGACAGACAGGCGUUGGACACGGAAAUUUAAAAAUGCAUUUAAA
rfam:Oryza rufipogon genomic scaffold, chr11